CCAUUCGAUUAGGGGUGCCUUGUUUGUUCAAGCAGACACGAAUUAAGGCUGAGAUCAUACCCAUUGGCGCCAUGGUGCCAAGCACCUGAUCCGGAUAAUGCCGGCGUAGGGAAGGUAAGUUAAAUGACG
rnacentral:ncRNA from 1 species